AGUAACUCAGCAUCUACAUGUAGAGUAUCAUGGACAGCUGAGAUCAGGGCAAAGUCAGGUGCCAGCAUCAGUCUAGAAAGGGUCAGGCAAGAAUGGAAUAGUUAGGCUUGUCCAGGAUCACACAACUAACCAGGUCCUGCCACAGUCAGACGAGGCAGGGUAGAGGUGCCAUCUUCUGUUAAGACCCUGCUUUCAGGAAGGGCCACUAGUGGCCACCAUGUGAAGUUUUGAGUCUCACAGGAAGUUUUCUGACCUGGAGCGUCUCAGUGGAAUACUCAGUAGCCUCCGGGGGUCUGGCAGUCAUAAUGUUUGCUUCCUGAUGCAAACUCGCACAGUCUACCCUCAGCCUCUCAUUAAGCUGCUCUAGGGAGCCUUCCACUUUUUGAUGGGAAAUUUAGAAAGAAGAGUAACAAUGUUGAAAACAUGACCUGAACUCUGGGGUUCUGUUGUUACCUUCA
rnacentral:lncRNA from 1 species